UAUAAAUUGGUGUAAAGUGCACAAUAGUUUUUGAUACUGUUUGUAUUGGUGUAAUUCCAU
rnacentral:tRNA from 1 species